CCAAUAGCGUAUAUUAAAGUUGUUGCAGUUAAAAAGCUCGUAGUUGAAUUUCGGGAUCAAUAUAUCGGUCGUGCCAUUGGUACGUACUGGUAUCAUUGGUUUCUCCUUUCUGACGAACCAUGAUGUCAUUAAUUUGGUGUUAUGGGAAGUUAGGACUGUUACUUUGAAAAAAUUAGAGUGUUUAAAGCAGGCUUUAGCUUGAAUACAUUAGCAUGGAAUAAUGAAAUAGGACGUUCGAACCUAUUUUGUUGGUUUUUAGGAUCAACGUAAUGAUUAAUAGGGAUAGUUGGGGGAAUUAGUAUUCAAUUGUCAGAGGUGAAAUUCUUGGAUUUAUUGAAGACUAACUACUGCGAAAGCAUUUGCCAAGGAUGUUUUCAUUAAUCAAGAACGAAAGUUAGGGGAUCGAAGACGAUCAGAUACCGUCGUAGUCUUAACCAUAAACUAUGCCGACUAGGGAUCGGAUGAUGUUAAUUUUUUAAUGACUCAUUCGGCGCCUUACG
rnacentral:misc_RNA from 1 species